rnacentral:rRNA from 1 species
ACAAUGCAACGUAUAAAGGGAAGCAAACCCGCGAGGGGGAGCAAAUCUCAAAAAGCGUUGCUCAGUUCGGAUUGCAGGCUGCAACUCGCCUGCAUGAAGCUGGAAUCGCUAGUAAUCGCGGGUCAGCAUACCGCGGUGAAUGUGUUCCUGAGCCUUGUACACACCGCCCGUCAAGCCACGAAAGUCGGGAGGGCCCGAAGUCACUGAGCUAACCGCAAGGGAGCAGGUGCCGAAGUUCAAUUCGACAAUUGGGACUAAGUCGUUACAAGGUAACCG